AGAGUUUGAUCCUGGCUCAGAUUGAACGCUGGCGGCAGGCCUAACACAUGCAAGUCGAGCGGAUGAAGGGAGCUUGCUCCUGGAUUCAGCGGCGGACGGGUGAGUAAUGCCUAGGAAUCUGCCUGGUAGUGGGGGACAACGUUUCGAAAGGAACGCUAAUACCGCAUACGUCCUACGGGAGAAAGCAGGGGACCUUCGGGCCUUGCGCUAUCAGAUGAGCCUAGGUCGGAUUAGCUAGUUGGUGAGGUAAUGGCUCACCAAGGCGACGAUCCGUAACUGGUCUGAGAGGAUGAUCAGUCACACUGGAACUGAGACACGGUCCAGACUCCUACGGGAGGCAGCAGUGGGGAAUAUUGGACAAUGGGCGAAAGCCUGAUCCAGCCAUGCCGCGUGUGUGAAGAAGGUCUUCGGAUUGUAAAGCACUUUAAGUUGGGAGGAAGGGUUGUAGAUUAAUACUCUGCAAUUUUGACGUUACCGACAGAAUAAGCACCGGCUAACUCUGUGCCAGCAGCCGCGGUAAUACAGAGGGUGCAAGCGUUAAUCGGAAUUACUGGGCGUAAAGCGCGCGUAGGUGGUUCGUUAAGUUGGAUGUGAAAUCCCCGGGCUCAACCUGGGAACUGCAUCCAAAACUGGCGAGCUAGAGUAUGGUAGAGGGUGGUGGAAUUUCCUGUGUAGCGGUGAAAUGCGUAGAUAUAGGAAGGAACACCAGUGGCGAAGGCGACCACCUGGACUGAUACUGACACUGAGGUGCGAAAGCGUGGGAGCAAACAGGAUUAGAUACCCUGGUAGUCCACGCCGUAAACGAUGUCAACUAGCCGUUGGGAGCCUUGAGCUCUUAGUGGCGCAGCUAACGCAUUAAGUUGACCGCCUGGGGAGUACGGCCGCAAGGUUAAAACUCAAAUGAAUUGACGGGGGCCCGCACAAGCGGUGGAGCAUGUGGUUUAAUUCGAAGCAACGCGAAGAACCUUACCAGGCCUUGACAUCCAAUGAACUUUCCAGAGAUGGAUUGGUGCCCUCGGGAGCAUUGAGACAGGUGCUGCAUGGCUGUCGUCAGCUCGUGUCGUGAGAUGUUGGGUUAAGUCCCGUAACGAGCGCAACCCUUGUCCUUAGUUACCAGCACGUUAUGGUGGGCACUCUAAGGAGACUGCCGGUGACAAACCGGAGGAAGGUGGGGAUGACGUCAAGUCAUCAUGGCCCUUACGGCCUGGGCUACACACGUGCUACAAUGGUCGGUACAAAGGGUUGCCAAGCCGCGAGGUGGAGCUAAUCCCAUAAAACCGAUCGUAGUCCGGAUCGCAGUCUGCAACUCGACUGCGUGAAGUCGGAAUCGCUAGUAAUCGCGAAUCAGAAUGUCGCGGUGAAUACGUUCCCGGGCCUUGUACACACCGCCCGUCACACCAUGGGAGUGGGUUGCACCAGAAGUAGCUAGUCUAACCUUCGGGAGGACGGUUACCACGGUGUGAUUCAUGACUGGGGUGAAGUCGUAACAAGGUAGCCGUAGGGGAACCUGCGGCUGGAUCACCUCC
rnacentral:rRNA from 1 species